rnacentral:rRNA from 1 species
GACGAACGCUGGCGGCGUGCUUAACACAUGCAAGUCGAACGGUAAGGCCCUUCGGGGUACACGAGUGGCGAACGGGUGAGUAACACGUGGGUGAUCUGCCCUGCACCUCGGGAUAAGCCUGGGAAACUGGGUCUAAUACCGGAUAGGACCACUGCCUGCAUGGGUGGUGGUGGAAAGCUUUUGCGGUGUGGGAUGGGCCCGCGGCCUAUCAGCUUGUUGGUGGGGUGAUGGCCUACCAAGGCGACGACGGGUAGCCGGCCUGGGAGGGUGACCGGCCACGCUGGGACUGGGAGACGGCCCAGAAUCCUACGGGAGGCAGCAGUGGGGAAUAUUGCACAAUGGGCGCAAGCCUGAUGCAGCGACGCCGCGUGAGGGAUGACGGCCUUCGGGUUGUAAACCUCUUUCAGCACCGACGAAGCGCAAGUGACGGUAGGUGCAGAAGAAGGACCGGCCAACUACGUGCCAGCCGCCGCGGUAA